UACGUAGGCAGCAAGCGUUGUUCGGAGUUACUGGGCGUAAAGGGUGCGCAGGCGGUUCUGUAAGUAUGGUGUGAAAUCUCUCGGCUUAACUGGGAGGGUGCGCUAUAAACUGCGGGACUAGAGUGUGGGAGAGGAAAGUGGAAAUUCCUGGUGUAGCGGUGAAAUGCGUAGAUAUCAGGAGGAACACCGGUGGUGUAAACGGCUUUCUGGACCAUAACUGACGCU
rnacentral:rRNA from 1 species